AAGGAGGAAGACGAGGGUGAAAAAUCCGAGCAAAAGGGCUCGGGAGAGGAAGGCUCGGGCACCCCAGCGCUGCGGGGCCGGGCCUCCUCUUCCUCCCGCCCGGCUCCGCGAAGGCAGCAGCCGCUACUUCAGCUCCGGGCACUUCGGGACGUGCAGGGAUUUCCCAACCUGGGGCAGGGCAAAGCUGUUCCCUGGGGGGGGGAGAAAACAGCCCUCCCGCCUUGCUCCCCGCCGCAACAAGCGGGGCGCAGCCUGCGGGAUGCUCCCGCGGAGCCCCGCGGCGAGGACAAGGGCGAGCCGCAGGCACCUCGCCGCGGGGAAACGUAGAAGAAACGGGAUCUUUAUCCCUCCUUGCUCUUUUUCUUUUGUCUAUUUUUUUUUCCCUUUCCCUUCAUUUAUGCUUUUUUUUUUUUUUUUUUUUUAGGUGGGGGUCGCUUUUUUUUGGCAGCGGGGGCCCAGGGAGAGCGAGGAGGCGGAAUGGCCUCGGCAGCCGCCGGGUGGUUUUAUUUAUUUAUUUUUAUUAUUUUUAUUUUUUUAAUUUUUUGAGGGGGGAGCCGCUCGGAGGUUCAUUACCAUCAUUAGCAUUUAACCCCCUCCCUGCCCCCCUCCCCGCGCCGCCGCUCGGUGACGUCAGGCGCCGCCAGGAUUUUGGGGGGAAAGCGAGAGGGAAGCUCGGUGGGCGAGGGGCGUCCCCUGCCCUCCCCUGCCGUCCCCUCCCCGCCGCCUGUCACAGCCCCUCCGCCGCUAUUAGAGGGGCCGAAGCCCGGAGCUCCGAAAGCUCAAAGUCAGCCGGGGCGCGAUGAACUUCUGGAAACCUUUUCCCUUUGCAGACCGCUCACUUUCGGGAAGGCAGAGACAGCCUCCUCUGACGCCUUUUCCCCCCUCGCCUUAUUUCGCCCGGCUCUGAUCUCCCCGGCUCGCUGCUCCGAGGCGCUCGGCGGCUCCCCGCUCCCCGUCCUACCUUCUCCUCCUCCUCCUCCUCAUUCCUGCCCCUCCUCCUCCUCCUCCUCCUCCUUUGUGCGUGUGUGUGUGUGUGUGCGUGGGGACCGUCUCCCCGAGGAUGCCGAGGGCCGGGGAGGGAAGUCGAGCGCUUUCCCCCGUUGGCAUUGUGCGAUAUCCGAAUUCCCAUGCUACACUUUUUGACGGGUCACUGGUGCCCCAAUAGGCAGGUGGCAAGGAGGGCUUGUAAUUACACACUCCCAGGAGCCGUGCCUUGGCCCCAGCCCUCCCCACGGGCUCCUACCUGCGGCUCCAAAGCCUCGGCUUGCUCGCGGGCAGCGGGGCGGAGGGGGGCCGGGGGCUGCCCCCGUUAUUAAUUGCGUUAAAAAAAAAAAAAAAAAAAAAAA